rnacentral:lncRNA from 1 species
GGAGAAGUAAAUAUUUGGUGAAUAUGUCCUUAUCAUUCAACACAAGCUCUCUACUGUGGUUUUAAAACACUCUGCCAUUUCUUUCAUCUUAAAACUAGCCAGGGGAGAGGAAUAAGUUGGAAGUGAUCACUAGAAAUUGAACAUCAUUUUUUGAAAAAUGUCAAGCACUUGUUUUGAGUGAGACUCUGACUGGACAGAUAAGGGAAGCAAACAACCUGGCAGUGGCAUUCUUAAGGGAUGAUUUCAGUGUUUAUAAUGCCCUAGCUAAUCUAUUUCUUGUGGCCUCUGUAUUCUCAAAUCAGGAAUAUUCCUUGAAGAACUUAUCACAGAGUUAACAUGAUAAACAGCAGGCACUGAGUUGAGAAUACAUCAGGGAGCCUGAAAUGACUCCAGGUUAACUAUCAAAGCGAGGAAUCCUCAUUAAAACUAUAACUUCCUUCCUCUAAUUCAAGAUCUUGGGGUAUUAACUGAAGACUCAGUGAACGUGUGCACAACAGCAAAGACAAAUCAACCAAGAAAGGGACAAAGAGAUCUGGGGCUAAGGGAAAAGAUGGAUAAAGGGUCAGAGAAAGAUGAACAUUGGCCUUAAAGAUAAAGCAGUCACAUUGAAGAAGAAGUAAUUAUUCCACACAUAGCAUACUAUGCUGAUUGUUGUCCCAAUUGCCUCUUCCUUCUUUAUUAUUGUUCAUGAAGCUCCGAUUUUUCCAGGUGGUGAAGGAAAGGCAACUUAACUUCAUUACCGAGUCCGCUGUUUGGAACACUUAAGUAUUCUUAAAUAGGACAAAGGACACAUGACAGAGAGAGAUCAUUUCUGUUCCAAAGGAUUGCUAAGCAUACUUUUGGUGAUACUCCAG